GAAAUGCGAUAAUUAAUGUGAAUUGCAGAAUUCAGUGAAUCAUCGAGUCUUUGAACGCACAUUGCGCCCCCUGGUAUUCCGGGGGGCAUGCCUGUCCGAGCGUCAUUGCUGCCCUCAAGCACGGCUUGUGUGUUGGGCUUCCGUCCCUGGCAACGGGGACGGGCCCAAAAGGCAGUGGCGGCACCAUGUCUGGUCCUCGAGCGUAUGGGGCUUUGUCACCCGCUCCCGUAGGUCCAGCUGGCAGCUAGCCUCGCAACCAAUCUUUUUAACCAGGUUGACCUCGGAUCAGGUAGGGAUACCCGCUGAACCUAAGC
rnacentral:misc_RNA from 1 species